rnacentral:SRP_RNA from 1 species
UUGCAAGCCGCUUUAGCAAGACUGAAUACCGAGAUUCGGGUAGUUAUUGUGAUGACGAGUUCAACACGUAGUGUUGAGAUUGAGGCAUCUUGUGACGUAAUGCUUAUGAACCAUGUCAGGUCAGGAAUGAAGCAGCAUUAAGUAAGUUUUUAUGGGUGCAAGUUUUUGUCAAGGUUGAGCUGUCGAUUGAACUAACGGUUGUGAAAAUUAUUCAACUCUCGGUUGCAU